UCGGGAAUAGCAGUAAAAUGCA
rnacentral:miRNA from 10 species